AAGGCAAAGCCAAGAAGAACUACUCCAUGUGGUGGAUUGCGUGCGCGGGGAAGAUCGCCAGAAAGUUUGUGGUUUCUCUCUACAGCGACCAGGAACAUCGCAGUAAAGGUGAUGGCGAUUGCAGAACACCGUAAAAGAAUAGCCUUGGAAGGAUUGCCCCUCUACCUCAGGGAGGACCCAACAAGUCUUUUCAAGAAAUGUCUGGAUACAGAUGCUGAGGAAGACUACACCAAAGGUGUGAAAAUUGGGAUCCUCACAGUGAAAGAAGAUGGCGUUGCAGCAGUCGAGUCUCUUCCUGCGGUAAUCAACACAGCCAUCAUUUUGGAAGAGACUGUUGUUCUCCAGGAUAUUAAGGAUGUACCAU